AGCAAACUCUGCAAUUUAGUAUUUACAAUGGAACAUAAACUUUGUCUGCAUUUGGUUGAAGGAAACUUAAAAGUUAAAGAACUGAAAUAACUUUUGGGACAGACAGACUAACAGAGGAACAAUGAUUUUUGGUAAAUCAAACUAAGAAAUUAGCUUAAAAUCAUCUUUUAAAGGCAAAAACUCUAAUAUAAGGGUAAACUUAUUCCUUGUUUUCGAAUGAUCUACAAAAAGAUGUGUUCUUUCUUUGUGACGUCAUCAGGCAUGGUUGCCUUUUUUCAUGACAUCACAAUAGGAAUUUCAGAGGAAAGCAAGAAAUUUCGACGUCCUACAUGUCAUAAUUGGAUUUUAACCAUGUUAACCAAUGAAGUUCUAAGAUCAAACAAACCACAUGUUGAUUAAAUUCUUUUUAUACAAUGGGUGCAGAAAGGGGUAAAUUUACAAAGAAUUAGAGAAAAAAGGUUAUCAAUUCAAGACAAUGAUUAGAUCAUUGAAUAAUGUCUUAUUGGUAUAAUAUUGAUUUUGUUAUCAGUAAAUUAAAAGGAGACUAAAUAUUAUUGUUGUAAACAUAUAUACAUUCAUAGAUCUACAAUCUGUUCAUACCUGUAUUUU